GCCGGGGGGCGGGGGCGGCCUCCGGAGGGCGUUUAUUUGUCUAGUUUCUUUAAUCUAUCUCCCCAGCCGGUGCAGCGGUGCCUGAGGGAUCGGUGUCCCGGGCGAUCGCCAGGAAAGGAGAGAAGCCAGCAGGGGGCAGAGGACGAGGCGGAAAAGAAUACGCAUAUGGGCUUCCCUUGUGGCUCAGCUGGUAAAGAAUCCACCUGCGAUGCCGGAGACCUGGGUUCGAUCCCCGGUUUGGGAAGAUACCUGGAGCCGGGAAAGACUACCCACUCCAGUAUUCUGGCCUGGAGAAUUCCAUGGACUAUACAGUCCAUAUACUUUGCCCACCCUGUGCAAAGAACUGACUCACUGGAAAAGAUCCUGAUGCUGGGAAAGAUUGAAGGCAGGAGGAGAAGGGGACGACAGAGGAUGAGAUGGCUGGAUGGCAUCACCAACUCGAUGACACGAGUUUGAGCAAGCUCCAGGAGUUGGUGAUGGACAGGGAGGCCUGGCAUGCUGCAGUCCAUGGGGUCGCAAAGAGUCCAACAAGACUGAGCGACUGAACUGAACUGAAUAUGCAUAUGGAAAAAUAUUCAUAUCUUAAGUGGACGUAAGUUCAAUAUAUUCUCGCAAUCUGAACUCAUCCGUGAAACCAGCACCAGAGGAAGAGGUAAAAUGUUAGCUGCUUGCACAGAAUCUCAUCCUGGUCUCUCCUCUCUAGCUCUCCCCGCUCUCACGGCUGUCACCCACCUGGAGUUAACUUAUUAUCCCGACUUGUAAUAACAGCACAGGAGAAUAUGCCCAUGUAAAGAAAAACUCAGACUGCCUCAUGAAUUGGGUAGAUGAAAGGGCUAUGUAAGUCAGCUUGUCAAGAGAUUAUUCAUCACCGUUGGAGUGACCAGAAAGAAAGAUCUCACAGAGCAGAAGAAACUACAACUGCAACUUCCUGAAUGACAGGCAUCUGAUUGGUAAAGAAGAUGGCAAGGUGUCCUGACCACCACUUAUGACAGGUUGUUUCCCCAUAAACUCCAAGUGCAAAUGUCUCCUGCUCACUGAAGAAUACAGUCACCAAGCCCAACUUGCAGCCCUCAUGGUACCCUGCAGCCUAAUCAAGGUGAGGCUUAAUUGCUCUCCUCCUCGGUUUCAGGCUUACAUCACCAAAGCCUUUAGCUGUCACCUUCACAGCUGUACAUUCCAAGCCAGUGACUGCAUACUCUGGGAAAGACAAGGUUACAGAGGGAGACUGCUACCUUCACUGCAUGCCACACAGACUCAUCACUUUCCUAUUCUGGACUGUGGACAAUAUUUGCAAUAGUAAUUGACAGAGGUAAAUGAAAUUUUAUGCUAAAGUGCCUUUGAGGGCAUUUUUUUUUUUUUUUCUGAAUGAAGAUGCUUUACACAUGUGGAUAUUUUCUUGGCUAUGAGCUUAACAAUAUGUGUUAUGACCUCUAUUUUCCCCUAAUCCCAAACCUAGCAGAGUUAGCUUUUUAAAAAUAUAUAUAUAUAUAUAUAUAUAUUUAUUUAUUUUAUUUUCGGCUGCACCGGCUCUUUGUUGCUGCGCACGGGCUUUCUCUAGUUGCGGUGAGCGGGAGUUACUCUUCCUUGUGCUGCAUGGCCUUCUCGUUGUGGUGGCUUCUCUUGUCGCAGAACACAGGCUCCAGGCACAUGAGCUUCAGCAGUUGCAGCACGCGGGUUCAGAAGUUGUGGCCCACAGGCUUAGUUGCCCCAAGACAUGUGGGACCUUCUCAGGCCAAGGAUUGAACUUGUGUCCCCCUGCAUUGGCAGGCGAAUUCUCAUCCACUGGACCACAAGGAAGUCUGAGAGUUAGCUUUUAUUUCACCUUCUCCAAAUAUCUACCACCUACUGAAAAACGAAACGAUUCCCUUUUAAUUUCUAGAUACCUCUCACUUGGACAUCCCUGUAGAUAACUGAUAGUUUUGAUAUUAUAAACUUUCAUUUAACAGCAACAAAAAAUUCUGUCUGGUUAUAAAAUACUUCUGGCAUAUUUCUAGUUUUUAAUUCCACAUUCUGCUUCAUUUCACAAUAAAAAGACUUCUUUUUUUUUUUCUUUAAUAAAAUGACUACCCUUUUACAUCAAAGUAUAAUUGGUUAGGCAAUUCUAACUUUCUUCAGAGAAAAGCACUUCCCUGAUCAUAUAGACUGUACUUCUAGUAAUCAUAGUUUCUCAAACUUGUUGCAAGUUUUGGAUAAAUCCUUAUUAGGCAAGCACUUCAAAAACAUAUUCAAUGCUUACUUUAGCAGCACGUAUACUUAAACUGGAAUGACACAGUGAAGAUGAGAAUGGCCCCAAUGAAAGGAGUACAUGCACAUCUGUUUAACACUCAUAUUUUUGUAUGAUUGUUAAAAUAAAAAAUUAUAUUUGACUGGGUUUUCAAUAUAUCCAGAUUCAAUGAUAUGACAUAAACGUGAAGGCAAAGGAGUUUAUAUAGCUGUAAUAUCUCUAUACUUCAUUUGAAGUGGUAAACUAUGAACUCUAAGAAGAUUAAGAAGAGUCAGGUAUGCAUAUGGUAACCACUCCUAAACAACAGCUAUAAAACUUACACAAAGGGAUAUGGUUUUUAAAAAAAAAUGUAAGUUAAAGUGUAAUGGCAAGAAAUACUCAAAUAAUCUAAAAGGAGAGAAAAAGAAAGCAAACAGAAAACUCAUCAUACAGUGGCACACUUGAAUCUAACAAUUUCAAUACUUAAAUUUAAAUGGUCUAAACACAACUAAAAGUUGGAGAUUGGGGAUUUCCCUGGUGGUCCAGAGUUUAGGAGUCUGCCUUGCAAUGCAGGGUACAUGGGUUCGAUCCCUGGUCAGGGAGGAUCCCGUGUGCCACAGGCUGGGCCCAUGAACGGCCUCACAUGGACCCCGGGGCCCGCACACCACAACUAGAGAGUCUGUAUGCUGCAAGGAAAGACCCCACGUGCUGCAGCUAAGACCUGACAACACAGCCACAUAAAUAAAUACUUCUAAAAAGCUGGAGAUUUUUGGAUUGGAUUAAAAACAAACAAACCAAGAUCCAACUAUGUGCUGUUACAAAAUAGACUCCAGAAAAAGGAACUCAUCGUGGAUAAAGAGGAAUAUUACAUAAUGAAAACAGAGUCAAGUCAUCAAAAGCUAUAACAACCCUAAGUGUGUAUGUACCUAAUAACAGAGCUUCAAGAUACAUAAAGCAAAAGUGAUAAAACUGAGAGAGGAAAAAGACAAACUUGCAAUUGCAUUUGGAGACUAAAACCCUCCUCUGUUAGAAACUGAUAACAGAAGCAGACAAAAAGUCAGCAAGAGUAUAGAAGACAUAAAAAUAACACUAUCAAACAAUUUGACCUAAUAAACAUUCCCACACAACAGAAUACACACCAUUUGCAAAUACACAUGGGACAGUCACCCUAAUAGACCAUAUUCUGGGUUAUAAAACAAACCUUAAUCUUUUUAAAGGAAUGAAAUCUUACCACAUAUAUUCUCUGGCCAUAAAAUAAUCAAUUAGACCAAUACUGAAGAGAUAUGCUGCUGCUGCUGCUGCUCUGCCCCUAAAUGUUUGAAAAUUAAGCAAUGUAUUUUAAGAAAUUCACUGGUUAAGAAGCCUCAAAAAUAAUUAGAAAAUAUUUUGAACUAAAUACAAAGGAACACUGCUGCUGCUCAGUUGCUCAAGUCAGGUCAGACUCUUUUGUGACUCUAUGGGCUGUAGACCACCAGGCUUCUCUGCCCAUGGGAUUGUCCAGGCAAGAAUAAUGGAGUGGGUUGCCAUCUCCUCCUCCAGGGGAUCUUCCCAAACCAGGGAUCGAACCUGGGUCUCCUGCAUUGGGAGGUGGGUUCUUUACCCCUGAGCCACCAGGGAAGCUCACGAAUGAACACAGAAUCUAUCAAAAUUUGUGAGAUUCAGGUAACGCAGGACUUAGGAAGAAAUUUAUAUGAGAAGUGUUCUUUUUAGAAAAGAAUAAAGGUUUCAAAUCAAUAAUCUAAACUUCUAUCUUAAAAAAUUAGAAAAAGAAUAGCCAGCUAAACACAAAGCAAGAAAAUCAGGGAACCCCACCUCCACCCCUGGUCCAUGGAAAAAUUGUCUUCCACGAAACCGGUCCCUGGUGCCAAAAGUGUUGUAAAAGAUUAACACAAUUAAUAAACUUCUAGCUAUAUUUAUAAGAGAAAAAGUGUAUAUAUUUUUAUGAAACAAUGAUCAUCUUUAUAAGGAUAUCAAUAUCUUACCCCAUGCCAGGGUAUAUCAUUAGUUUCAAGCUCAAACCUUUAGGUACCUAAUGAUAUUUAGGUGAAUCCACUCUUUCUGCCCAAGGUAUCUAUUUACAUAGGAAUCGGUUUGUUUCACCCUUACAUUCUCUACAGAAGAUCUUUUAGACAAUCUCAAGGGCUUCGGUUUCAAGCUGAGGGGACUGGCAGAUUUUGAUGACAGCUGCUAAAAGCCCCAAUCAUAUUGUGUCUUUGUGGGAGGACCAAGUGAGUGUAGCCAGAGAGAGGUGAGUCCUUCCACUUGCAUGAGGUCACAGGUUGGGCUGUGAGAAGGAUGGGGUGGGUUCCUAGUUCUGUUCCUUUAUAAACUAACAUUUGGGUGCGCCCAACACUGCCAGCGAUCUUUGUCCUCACAGCAGUCUGCCUGCCUGUGCUCAGCAGAGGGAGAGGCCAGGGAGCAGGCUGGGCUGAAGCCAGGAGUCCUUGUCAACAGCUGUCAUUUAUCCCAUUGGUUCACUCAUUACUCAUCCUUAUCACCAGGGUUUUGGGGAUGCCAUGCUCUUUCUAGAAUCCUUUGAGAAAAUGCAGUGUAGGUGAGCAAUGAGCAAUCUUAGCGCUUGCACUAUCCCUCCAUGGAAUUCCUUCCAGGGUUGAGUCACGUCUUUCUCACAACAAUAAAAGCUCCUUGAAGACAAGAAUCCUCUUUUGUGUCUCUUUUACACUACCCACAGAACAUAAUGGCCCCUUGUUACAAACUUGCCAACAAACUGAUAAUAUUCCCAGUACAAUGUACAUGCUCAUUAAAUAAUGGUCGAUGGAAUCAGUUAAUAAAGAACUGUGUGUUGUUCUUGUA